UUCCUCCCAAAGCUAAGCCUUCAGAGGAAGAGGACAACUUUCCCUGAUAGAGAAGGACUAUUCUUGGGGCAAGGGUGUAGGAAUGGCUGUACUCACCUGCUAGAACCUCCAAAUGAGCUGUCAAAGUUGUUUCCAGAUUUAUAAUGUUCAAC
rnacentral:sRNA from 1 species